GUUCUUGCUUCGGGAACAUUCAAUAAAAUUGAAAUGACACAGUGAGGAUUAACAUGGCCUUUAUAUAAGGAUGACAAGCACAAAUUCAAAGAAUAUAAUCACACAC